UACAGAGGUGGCAAGCGUUGUUCGGAAUUACUGGGCGUAAAGGGCGCGUAGGUGGCCUUGUUAGUCAGACGUGAAAUCCCCAAGCUUAACUUGGGAACUGCGUCUGAUACUGCAAGGCUUGAGUUCGGGAGAGGGAUGUGGAAUUCCAGGUGUAGCGGUGAAAUGCGUAGAUAUCUGGAGGAACACCGGUGGCGAAGGCGGCAUCCUGGACCGAAACUGACACUGAGGCGCGAAAGCCAGGGGAGCAAACGGG
rnacentral:rRNA from 1 species